rnacentral:rRNA from 1 species
UACGUAGGGGGCAAGCGUUGUCCGGAUUUAUUGGGCGUAAAGAGCGUGUAGGCGGCCAUACAGGUCCGUUGUGAAAACUGGAGGCUUAACCUCCAGACGUCGAUGGAAACCGUAUGGCUAGAGUCCGGAAGAGGAGAGUGGAAUUCCUGGUGUAGCGGUGAAAUGCGCAGAUAUCAGGAAGAACACCCGUGGCGAAGGCAGCUCGCUGGGACGGUACUGACGCUGAGACGCGAAAGCGUGGGGAGCAAACAGG